rnacentral:rRNA from 1 species
UAGGGAAUCUUCCACAAUGGACGCAAGUCUGAUGGAGCAACGCCGCGUGAGUGAAGAAGGUUUUCGGAUCGUAAAGCUCUGUUGUUGGUGAAGAAGGAUAGAGGCAGUAACUGGUCUUUAUUUGACGGUAAUCAACCAGAAAGUCACGGCUAACUACGUGCCAGCAGCCGCGGUAAUCCGUAGGUGGCAAGCGUUGUCCGGAUUUAUUGGGCGGAAAGCGAGCGCAGGCGGAAUGAUAAGUCUGAUGUGAAAGCCCACGGCUCAACCGUAGAACUGCAUCGGAAACUGUCAUUCUUGAGUGCAGGAGAGGAGAGUGGAAUUCCAUGUGUAGCGGUGAAAUGCGUAGAUAUAUGGAAGAACACCAGUGGCGAAGGCGGCUCUCUGGUCUUCAACUGACGCUGAGGCUCGAAAGCAUGGGUAGCGAACAGG